UUUGAGCAUUUCUUUUACCAGACUGGGUCCUGAGACAGACUGGGUCCAACUUAAACUGGUCUAGGUCCAGUGGGAAAACUCAGAUGGGACCACUAAGAUACCCACUCACUCUGGAACCGGCAGAUGGGAUCCUGGAAAAAGUAGCAGAAACCAGUGGAGGGGAUUAUUUGAUAGACCUUCUCACCUAAGAUAAGAUGGACAUAGGGGAUUUUUUUAUUUCCAGCCUAUUGUAAACUUUUC